rnacentral:rRNA from 1 species
GAUGAACGCUGGCGGCGUGCCUAAUACAUGCAAGUCGAGCGAACAGAUGAGGAGCUUGCUCCUCUGACGUUAGCGGCGGACGGGUGAGUAACACGCGGAUAACCUACCUAUAAGACUAGGAUAACUUCGGGAAACCGGAGCUAAUACCGGAUAAUAUAUUGAACCGCAUGGUUCAAUAGUGAAAGACGGUUUUGCUGUCACUUAUAGAUGGAUCCGCGCCGCAUUAGCUAGUUGGUAAGGUAACGGCUUACCAAGGCAACGAUGCGUAGCCGACCUGAGAGGGUGAUCCGCCACACUGGAACUGAGACAAGGUCCAGACUCCUACGGGAGGCAGCAGUAGGGAAUCUUCCGCAAUGGGCGAAAGCCUGACGGAGCAACGCCGCGUGAGUGAUGAAGGUCUUCGGAUCGUAAAACUCUGUUAUUAGGGAAGAACAAAUGUGUAAGUAACUAUGCACGUCUUGACGGUACCUAAUCAGAAAGCCACGGCUAACUACGUG